rnacentral:tRNA from 1 species
GCACUCAUAGCUCAAUUGGAUAGAGCGUUUGGCUACGGACCAAAAGGUUUGGAGUUCGAGUCUCUAUGGGUGCACCA